rnacentral:snoRNA from 1 species
AACCCAUGGUGAGGGCACCUUCUCAAUAAAUCUUUGUAUCUCACCCAUGCAUCAUACAGUGUUUCUAAAUCCAUCUGCACAAAAGAAGAAAUACCAUUCCUCAACUU